CUCCGCCAGAGCCCAGCCUUCCAGCCGACUGCCGACUGCUGACGAUUGCCUCCUCCCGCUUUGUCAGUGUGUGUGAGCCAGACCCUGGUCCUGGCCCUGAGCACUCAUCAGUCAGUACAGGAAGCAGGAAAGGAGGAUGGCCUCGUGGACCUGACCUUCGGGCAGGGAUGGAGAGGGACCGCUUUCCCGGUGGCUGGUCCCAGCCCCACGGCCCUGCCUCUGUGCAGAUGGAAGCCUCCGAGGCUGUGUUCUUUUGGGAAGGAGAAGCCCCAGCUCAGACCCAACUCUGCUGCUCACUUCCCAGUGGCAGCACUAGGCGAGUCAAGUCCCCUCAGUGUCCUUUGGUGUCCUCACGGGUAAUGCAGAGCCGGCACCUUGGCAAGAGGAGCAGAGAGGUUAAAGGCAAAGUGCCCAGCGUCGGGGUGGCACACAGAGUCUGACUUGAGGAAGCCGCAAGGACAGAACGCCCGAGGCCUCUAACUGACAAGAGCGAGGUUCUUUCUCACGGGCCGGAGGCUGGGACACCCAAGGUCAGGGCUCCGGCAUCUGGGGGAGGCUUCUUGCUGCCUUGUCCCAGGGCAGCAGGGGAGAGGCAGGAGAGCGACAUGUGGCCGAGACAUGGACACUGACGGCGCCAGUUCAGCAGGAGGCCCUGGCCUCAGCUGCCCACACCGUCACAUCCCGGAGGUGGCAGAGAAAUGUGGCGGUAACGGAAGUGAAGAGAGAAAGCGCAGCAGAGGAACAUGUGGGAGGACCAGCAGCGAGGUGUGCCAGAGCCUCCUGUGCUCCCACGCAGACCUGGGACCUCACUGUCCCCUGUCCUUUCCGACGAGGUCAGACUGGGCUCACACGCAUGUACCCCAACAUCACCCCAGCCUCUGCUUCUGCCUGAGCCCGUUUCCCAUCAGCCCGAGGCUUCCCUGCCUGCUGACCCACAUGCAGCCCUGGCAGCCGCCUCUGUUCAGCGUGGCUUCCUUGAGGAGGGAAGGCCAGGGGAUCGACCCCCUUCCAGGCAUGCUCCCAAGGGCUCAGCAGGCUUCUAGGGGCACCACCCAGGGGCCUCAGUGCCUGCUCCAGAGCUUGGUAAUGGAUGCUCCUGCCAGCCUUCUCGUGCUUCACUCCUGA
rnacentral:lncRNA from 1 species